AGGCCAGUAGCUCAAGUUGGCAGAGCAGCGGUCUCCAAAACCGCAGGUUGCGGGUUCAAAUCCUGCCUGGCCUG
rnacentral:tRNA from 1 species